rnacentral:rRNA from 1 species
UACGGAGGGGGCUAGCGUUGUUCGGAAUUACUGGGCGUAAAGCGCACGUAGGCGGCUUUGUAAGUUAGAGGUGAAAGCCCGGGGCUCAACUCCGGAACUGCCUUUAAGACUGCAUCGCUUGAAUCCGGGAGAGGUGAGUGGAAUUCCGAGUGUAGAGGUGAAAUUCGUAGAUAUUCGCAAGAACACCAGUGGCGAAGGCGGCUCACUGGCCCGGUACUGACGCUGAGGUGGCGAAAGCGUGGGGAGCAAACAGG